GGAGAGAAAAAAAACCAACCCGCGCUCUCGUAAACAUCUGUCGGAUAGGUGCUUGCAAUUUAACUUACACGACAAUGUAAACAAUCUUUGCCUGGAUGCGGAUAGGACUUUUCGACUUUUUAUAAAUUUUGAAUGUUUUUUUAUGUUUAUGUUUGCCAAAGAAGUGUCAAAAUCUUGGUGUAGGCUAAUUAUUUAGCGUUCAAGUAAGUUUUUCUAUUAAAAUACAGAGUAGAUUCCAAAUCCGACAAUUCGGGCGCCCAUUUGCAGUAGUGGCGGUCCUUGUAAAGAUCCCGAAUUGACAGAGAAUCCUUCGCCAAAUAAUGUAAUCCGGUGGCGGAUGGACGCUUGUUCGUAAUUCCAACGUCAAAAUAGAACCUGCAGCAGUCAUAUUCAAACCUAAACCUGGCGGGUGGUAAUCGAGUCGGAGAUACCUCCAGCAACAACUCCACUAGCAACAGUUCUACGAUCGCGGAGCCCAAGUCGACGGUAGCGGCAGCGGCCGCGUCCUACGAAUCGUGUUUUUGGUGGAAGUAGCAGUGGAAGCUCGAAAGUUCAAGCACGAGUGGCGGAGGUGGAGGCAGCACUACGAAUACGACCAGUAACAACAACAGCAGAGGUCCGGUAGUAACUGUUGGAGCAGCUGUAAUGGCGGCCACGGCUGGUACGCCAAACUAGCCGAUCUGUCGCGAAUCUUUUGCGAGGUCAUGCACCACUUCCGGUUAGACUUAUUUCCCAUGCCCAGGUGAACCAGCAGAAGUCCAACUCACUAAGCCCAAGGUCGCCAAAAUCAUCGCUUGUCCAAACAUCCAACAAGAGUUUUUGGAGUGCACGACACGCUUGGACGAGCAACUGCUCAAUGCUCAACAUUGAAGACUCGGAGAAUGAAACCAUGUCGGAGUGCGUCGAUGGAACCUACCCCACGCUGGACGAGAGUCGCUCGAGACGUUUAUCUCGGAAGACGUUUUGGUGGUGGCGGCAGAUGGAUCGCGGGAUACCAACUACAACUACGAGUGGGGAGUGUAUCGACGAGGUAAUCCACGCGCUCAACGGCUGCACCGACAUCCCGAUUGCCCUGCCGGUACGCAAGUCAACACUGUAAAAAUAUUAAGCUAAUCGAAGUCAAUCUUAGCAGCUAGGACGCGUACGCGUACGCGAAUCUCAUCGCUAUGAACUCGUUCUGCAAGGACGCGCUGGGUUGGCAACCAGCACCGGUCGACGACGAGCAGGCGUGAGUUUCGGCAGGCAGUGGCCGCGGAUGUUGCAUUAGCAAGCGUAGCGCCAAAAAACCUACUAAACGAAAAUGUUGGCGGAAAACCGAGACGCACCCAGCAGAGACGAGGAGAUUGACAAGCGUGAGACGUUGCCGCCGUAGUAGAACUGGAUAGCAGGACCGGGCCGCGUCACAGACACGUGGUCGAAGCGCGCAACGACUUGAUGCAUCCCGAAGAGGGACAUGAACGGGAUUCGAAGCAGUACGAUUUUAUUAGAAAUUUAGGCAUCACCUACCUACUACAGUAGUUGUUCGGUAACUGGGCUGAGAACGUAGCCCAGUCAUCGAAUGCUGUUCGCUAACUGGGCUGAACGAAAAAUAACGAGGGGACUACCGAUGCAUAAUAUUUAUUUG